GACGAACGCUGGCGGCGUGCCUAAUACAUGCAAGUUGAGCGAUGAAGAUUGGUGCUUGCACCAAUUUGAAGAGCAGCGAACGGGUGAGUAACGCGUGGGGAAUCUGCCUUUGAGCGGGGGACAACAUUUGGAAACGAAUGCUAAUACCGCAUAACAACUUUAAACAUAAGUUUUAAGUUUGAAAGAUGCAAUUGCAUCACUCAAAGAUGAUCCCGCGUUGUAUUAGCUAGUUGGUGAGGUAAAGGCUCACCAAGGCGAUGAUACAUAGCCGACCUGAGAGGGUGAGCGGCCACAUUGGGACUGAGACACGGCCCAAACUCCUACGGGAGGCAGCAGUAGGGAAUCUUCGGCAAUGGACGAAAGUCUGACCGAGAAACGCCGCGUGAGUGAAGAAGGUUUUCGGAUCGUAAAACUCUGUUGGUAGAGAAGAACGUUGGUGAGAGUGGAAAGCUCAUCAAGUGACGGUAACUACCCAGAAAGGGACGGCUAACUACGUG
rnacentral:rRNA from 1 species